rnacentral:ncRNA from 1 species
CUAAAACCAAUGAAGAGAAGAGUAAUUUUUAUCCACUUUUGAAGAGAGGUUCCGUUUGGUGAAAGGGACUAAAGGGGAAAGAAUGAAGAUGGUCUCGGAGGUGAGUCGGCUGAUAGGUAAGCCGCUUCGAUUUGUUCGAUCGUUAUCUCGAACGCUAUUUCUUCGGAGAUAGUUGAGGAAAGCAUUGCUUUCAAACAAAGGUGGUACCACGAUGACUCGUCCUUUAU